rnacentral:rRNA from 1 species
GUAGGUGGCAAGCGUUGUCCGGAAUUAUUGGGCGUAAAGCGCGCGCAGGCGGUUCUUUAAGUCUGAUGUGAAAGCCCACGGCUCAACCGUGGAGGGUCAUUGGAAACUGGAGAACUUGAGUACAGAAGAGGAAAGCGGAAUUCCACGUGUAGCGGUGAAAUGCGUAGAGAUGUGGAGGAACACCAGUGGCGAAGGCGGCUUUCUAGUCUGUAACUGACGCUGAGGCGCGAAAGCGUGGGGAGCAAACAGGGAUUAGAUACCCUGGUAGUCCACGCCGUAAACGAUGAGUGCUAAGUGUUAGGGGGUUUCCGCCCCCUUAGUGCUGCAGCUAACGCAUUAAGCACUCCGCCUGGGGAUACGGCCGCAAGGCUG